GCCGAAGUGGCGGAAUUGGCAGACGCGCUGGAUUCAAAAUCCAGUUCCCGCAAGGGAGUGAGGGUUCGAGUCCCUCCUUCGGUA
rnacentral:tRNA from 5 species